UACGUAGGGUGCAAGCGUUGUCCGGAAUUAUUGGGCGUAAAGAGCUCGUAGGCGGUUUGUCGCGUCUGCUGUGAAAACGCGAGGCUCAACCUCGCGCCUGCAGUGGGUACGGGCAGACUAGAGUGCGGUAGGGGAGAUUGGAAUUCCUGGUGUAGCGGUGGAAUGCGCAGAUAUCAGGAGGAACACCGAUGGCGAAGGCAGAUCUCUGGGCCGUUACUGACGCCGAGGAGCGAAAGCGUGGGGAGCGAACAGG
rnacentral:rRNA from 1 species